CUCCUUCCAUGGUCAGCCUGAGCUCUAAAGACAGAGCUUGCUUUACCUUCUCUGCCUUACGCCAUCUAGAUGGCUAAUACGAGGUUAUUCACUGGUGUUUGGGUCGACAAGUGCAGCAGAUUUGCCUAGUGGUGGGAGGUCUUCUUCCUCCACAAGGACGAGAUGGUGCUGGCCAUUCAAAUCCUCUGACGAGUUUGAUGCUGCCAAUUCGGUGUCCUUCUUUGUCUCCGACCGAGCAUUUUCAAGGUUAGACUGAAGCUUGUUUUGUUCAUUGGGUUCACUUCAACCUCCACUUAUGAGAUGCCCUUGUUGAAUUUGCAGCUUGAUGGUAGUUAACCUUGUCCUUGCUGUCACACGAGUUCAUCGUCGGACGAGAGAUCAUCAGUGCUCCUCUCGACAACGCGAACUCGCUUUCCUUUUUUGAGGGCCACC
rnacentral:lncRNA from 1 species